rnacentral:rRNA from 1 species
GACAGAGGGUGCAAACGUUGUUCGGAAUUACUGGGCGUAAAGCGCGUGUAGGCUGCUUCGAAAGUCGGGUGUGAAAGCCCUGGGCUCAACCUAGGAAGUGCACUCGAAACUGUGAAGCUGGAGUUCUGGAGAGGAAGGCGGAAUUCUCGGUGUAGAGGUGAAAUUCGUAGAUAUCGAGAGGAACACCGGUGGCGAAGGCGGCCUUCUGGACAGUGACUGACGCUGAGACGCGAAAGCGUGGGGAGCAAACAGG